CUAAGUCCCAAACUGACAUUGGGAUGUAUUUGAUUGAAAUUGCGAGUGCCAAUCUAAAAGGAAAUGGAACGCGUUUGGAAAGAAUAUUAGCUGCUAAAUGUUUUGAAAAGACGGGGGGAAAGGCCUUCCCAUGGCAGGGUAAUUCAGAAGCUACUGCUCCGGAUCUCAGGUAUGGUGGGUACGUCGGAGGUAAUUGAAACCUCAGCCUGGUUCGCGUCUGUGUUGGAGGAAGAAUAUUGUUGGUAUAUGGUACGACCCGAGGGCUUGGGAAACACCCAGCCUCAUUUAAUAGGUCAUCCAGCUCGACGACAAUGCGCCUGGAUUUUGGGGGAUUCAAGUUAUUGUAGCCGCAGCGUGUAUCCACACGAUUGGGGUGGGUCAUUCUACACGGUUGAUGAGCCGCCCAUGAAGUAUAUUUACAAAAAUGUAUGUGCUUCGUUUGGCAAUACCGUAUUUUACAAUUAUCUACUGACGCCUGCAAUGAGGCACUCAAUAAAGCUUGCCGUCCUGGCAACUAGCAACUAGA